GCCGGUGUGGCUCAGUGGGUAGAGCGUUGGACUGCGGACCAAAGGUCCCAGGUUUGAUUCCCGGUCAGGGGCA
rnacentral:tRNA from 1 species